rnacentral:lncRNA from 1 species
UUAUGUGAUGUUUGUUUACUAUGUUGUUUGCUUUCUUUCCGGUGUACUUCUUCUCGGUAAUUCGGUAACCUUGCGUUUGUGAGGAUCCGUUGGCUACGUCCGUUUGUCUUCUUCAUGGACUCAUUCUUCUUCCUUGCGGGAUUUCAGGCAAGAUGACCAUACCCUCGAAAUCACUUCUAUCUUUGCUUGCUAGUUGCUCGCUCUUUUGCUAUGCCUAUGCUGCGAUACCUACCACUUGCUUAUCAUGCCUCCCAUAUUGUUAAGCCAAGCCUCUAACCCACCUUGUCCUAGCAAACCGUUGUUUGGCUAUGUUAUCGCUUUGCUCAGCCCCUCUUAUAGCGUUGUUAGUUGCAGGUGAAGAUUGGAGUUUGUUCCAUGUUUGGAACAUGGUUAUUUGUUGGGAUAUCAUAAUAUCUCUUAUUUAAUUAAUGCAUCUCUAUACUUGGUAAAGGAUGGAAGGAUCGGCCUUAUGCCUGGUGUUUUGUUCCACUCUUGCCGCCCUAGUUUUCGUCAUAUCGGUGUUAUGUUCCCGGAUUUUGCGUUCCUUACGCGGUUGGGUUAUAAUGGGAACCCCUUGACAGUUCGCCUUGAAUAAAACUCCUUCAGCAAGGCCCAACAUUGGUUUUACCAUUUGCCACCUAGCCUUUUUCUUCCCCUUGAGUCGGCCGGUUCAAGGGUCAUCUUUAUUUAAACCCCCGGGCUAGUUCUCCUCUGAGUGUUGGUUCAACCUGUCAGCUGCCGGUGGCCAUCAGGGGCAACUCUGGGCUGGCCUACCGGAACCUUGGACAAUCCGGUGUGCCCUGAGAAAGAGAUAUGUGCAGCUCCUAUCGGGAUUUGUCGGCACAUUCGGGUGGCUUUGCUGGUCUUGUUUUACCAUUGUCGAAAUGUCUUGUAACCGGGAUUCUGAGUCUGAUCGGGUCUUCCCGCUAGAAGGAAUAUCCUUCGUUGACCGUGAGAGCUUGUGACGGGCUAAGUUGGGACACCCCUGCAGGGAUUUGAACUUUCGAAAGCCGUGCCCGCGGUUAUGGGCAGAUGGGAAUUUGUUAAUGUCCGGUUGUAGAAAAGAAGUUGAUCUUAAUUAAAAACGCAUCAACCGCGUGUGUAACCGUGAUGGUCUCUUUCCGGCGGAGUCCGGGAAGUGAACAUGGUGUUGGAGUUAUGCUUGACAUAGGUCGUUCUAGGAUCACUUCUUGAUCAUAGAUUCUCGAUCGUGCUUUUGCCUUCUCUUCUCGCUCUCAUUUGCGUAUGUUUAGCCACCAUAUAUGCUAGUCGCUUGCCGCAGCUCCACCUCAUACCUUUUACCUACCUAUAAGCUUAAAUAGUCUUGAUCGCGAGGGUGUGAGAUUGCUGAGUCUCCAUGACUCACAGAUACUUCCAAAACCAGCUUGCAGGUGCCAUUGAACCGUGCAGGUGACGCAACCAAGCUCAAGGAGGAGCUCGAUGAAGUUCGUGUUCAUUGUGUUGUUCCGUUUCUAGUUGGUCAGUAGUGGAGCCCAGUCGGGACGAUCGGGGAUCUGUGUAGCUUUUGGGGUAGUCUUCUUUUAUUUUGGUUCUGUAGUCGGACCUUGAUUGUAUCUGGUUGAUAUAAUGCUUUAUUCAUGUAAUUUUGUGAAGUGGCGAUUGUAAGCCAACUAUGUAUCUCUUUCCCUUAUGUAUUGCAUGGGUUGUGUGAAG